AUUGAACGCUGGCGGCAUGCCUUACACAUGCAAGUCGAACGGCAGCACGGGUGCUUGCACCUGGUGGCGAGUGGCGAACGGGUGAGUAAUACAUCGGAACAUGUCCUGUAGUGGGGGAUAGCCCGGCGAAGCCGGAUUAAUACCGCAUACGAUCUACGGAUGAAAGCGGGGGAUCUUCGGACCUCGCGCUAUAGGGUUGGCCGAUGGCUGAUUAGCUAGUUGGUGGGGUAAAGGCCUACCAAGGCGACGAUCAGUAGCUGGUCUGAGAGGACGACCAGCCACACUGGGACUGAGACACGGCCCAGACUCCUACGGGAGGCAGCAGUGGGGAAUUUUGGACAAUGGGCGAAAGCCUGAUCCAGCAAUGCCGCGUGUGUGAAGAAGGCCUUCGGGUUGUAAAGCACUUUUGUCCGGAAAGAAAUCCUUGGCUCUAAUACAGUCGGGGGAUGACGGUACCGGAAGAAUAAGCACCGGCUAACUACGUG
rnacentral:rRNA from 1 species